GCCCCAGUGGCCUAAUGGAUAAGGCACUGGCCUCCUAAGCCAGGGAUUGUGGGUUCGAAUCCCACCUGGGGUG
rnacentral:tRNA from 3 species